rnacentral:rRNA from 1 species
ACACUAAAAAACCAGUCUGCGUGGAGCCAACCUUGAAAUACCACCCUUUAAUGUUUGAUGUUCUAACGUUGGCCCCUGACCGGGGUUGCGGACAGUGUCUGGUGGGUAGUUUGACUGGGGCGGUCUCCUCCCAAAGCGUAACGGAGGAGCACGAAGGUUAGCUAAUCCUGGUCGGACAUCAGGAGGUUAGUGCAAUGGCAUAAGCUAGCUUGACUGCGAGCGUGACGGCGCGAGCAGGUGCGAAAGCAGGUCAUAGUGAUCCGGUGGUUCUGAAUGGAAGGGCCAUCGCUCAACGGAUAAAAGGUACUCCGUGGAUAACAGGCUGAUACCGCCCAAGAGUUCAUAUCGACGGCGGUGUUUGGCACCUCGAUGU